GACCCCGCACAAGCGGCGGAGCAUGCGGCUUAAUUCGAUGAUACCCGUAGAACCUUACCUGGACUUGACAUAUAGGGAAAAACUAAAGAAAUUUAGUGUGCGUAAGCGCCCUAUACAGGUGGUGCAUGGCUGUCGUCAGCUCGUGUCGUGAGAUGUUGGGUUAAGUCCCGCAACGAGCGCAACCCACGUCUUUAGUUGCCAGCAUUUAGUUGGGCACUCUAGAGAGACUGCCGGUGAUAAACCGGAGGAAGGUGUGGAUGACGUCAAGUCAUCAUGCCCCUUACAUCCUGGGCUGCACGCAUGCUACAAUGGCAAGUACAACGAGUCGCAAUACCGCGAGGUGGAGCAAAUCUCUUAAAGCUUGUCUCAGUUCGGAUAGGAGUCUGCAACUCGACUCCUUGAAGUUGGAGUCGCUAGUAA
rnacentral:rRNA from 1 species